GACGAACGCUGGCGGCGUGCCUAAUACAUGCAAGUAGAACGCACAGUUUAUACCGUAGCUUGCUACACCAUAGACUGUGAGUUGCGAACGGGUGAGUAACGCGUAGGUAACCUGCCUGGUAGCGGGGGAUAACUAUUGGAAACGAUAGCUAAUACCGCAUGAUAUUUAUUAUUGCAUGAUAAUUGAUUGAAAGAUGCUAUUGCAUCACUACCAGAUGGACCUGCGUUGUAUUAGCUAGUAGGUGAGGUAACGGCUCACCUCGGCGACGAUACAUAGCCGACCGGGGGGGGAGGGCGGCCACACUGGGAAUGGGGACCGGCCCAAACGCCAACGGGAGGCAGCAGUAGGGAAUCUUCGGCGAUGGACGAAAGACUGACCGAGCAACGCCGCGUGAGUGAAGAAGGGUUUCGGAUCGUAAAACUCUGUUGUAAGAGAAGAACGGGGGUGAGAUUGGAAAGUUCACGCUGUGACGGUAACUGACCAGAAAGGGACGGCUAACUACGUG
rnacentral:rRNA from 1 species